UUAAGCGACUAAGCGUACACGGUGGAUGCCCUGGCAGUCAGAGGCGAUGAAGGACGUGCUAAUCUGCGAUAAGCGUCGGUAAGGUGAUAUGAACCGUUAUAACCGGCGAUUUCCGAAUGGGGAAACCCAGUGUGAUUCGUCACACUAUCAUUAACUGAAUCCAUAGGUUAAUGAGGCGAACCGGGGGAACUGAAACAUCUAAGUACCCCGAGGAAAAGAAAUCAACCGAGAUUCCCCCAGUAGCGGCGAGCGAACGGGGAGCAGCCCAGAGCCUGAAUCAGUGUGUGUGUUAGUGGAAGCGUCUGGAAAGGCGUGCGAUACAGGGUGACAGCCCCGUACACAAAAAUGCACAUAUUGUGAGCUCGAUGAGUAGGGCGGGACACGUGGUAUCCUGUCUGAAUAUGGGGGGACCAUCCUCCAAGGCUAAAUACUCCUGACUGACCGAUAGUGAACCAGUACCGUGAGGGAAAGGCGAAAAGAACCCCGGCGAGGGGAGUGAAAAAGAACCUGAAACCGUGUACGUACAAGCAGUGGGAGCACGCUUAGGCGUGUGACUGCGUACCUUUUGUAUAAUGGGUCAGCGACUUAUAUUCUGUAGCAAGGUUAACCGAAUAGGGGAGCCGAAGGGAAACCGAGUCUUAACUGGGCGUUAAGUUGCAGGGUAUAGACCCGAAACCCGGUGAUCUAGCCAUGGGCAGGUUGAAGGUUGGGUAACACUAACUGGAGGACCGAACCGACUAAUGUUGAAAAAUUAGCGGAUGACUUGUGGCUGGGGGUGAAAGGCCAAUCAAACCGGGAGAUAGCUGGUUCUCCCCGAAAGCUAUUUAGGUAGCGCCUCGUGAAUUCAUCUCCGGGGGUAGAGCACUGUUUCGGCAAGGGGGUCAUCCCGACUUACCAACCCGAUGCAAACUGCGAAUACCGGAGAAUGUUAUCACGGGAGACACACGGCGGGUGCUAACGUCCGUCGUGAAGAGGGAAACAACCCAGACCGCCAGCUAAGGUCCCAAAGUCAUGGUUAAGUGGGAAACGAUGUGGGAAGGCCCAGACAGCCAGGAUGUUGGCUUAGAAGCAGCCAUCAUUUAAAGAAAGCGUAAUAGCUCACUGGUCGAGUCGGCCUGCGCGGAAGAUGUAACGGGGCUAAACCAUGCACCGAAGCUGCGGCAGCGACGCUUAUGCGUUGUUGGGUAGGGGAGCGUUCUGUAAGCCUGCGAAGGUGUGCUGUGAGGCAUGCUGGAGGUAUCAGAAGUGCGAAUGCUGACAUAAGUAACGAUAAAGCGGGUGAAAAGCCCGCUCGCCGGAAGACCAAGGGUUCCUGUCCAACGUUAAUCGGGGCAGGGUGAGUCGACCCCUAAGGCGAGGCCGAAAGGCGUAGUCGAUGGGAAACAGGUUAAUAUUCCUGUACUUGGUGUUACUGCGAAGGGGGGACGGAGAAGGCUAUGUUGGCCGGGCGACGGUUGUCCCGGUUUAAGCGUGUAGGCUGGUUUUCCAGGCAAAUCCGGAAAAUCAAGGCUGAGGCGUGAUGACGAGGCACUACGGUGCUGAAGCAACAAAUGCCCUGCUUCCAGGAAAAGCCUCUAAGCAUCAGGUAACAUCAAAUCGUACCCCAAACCGACACAGGUGGUCAGGUAGAGAAUACCAAGGCGCUUGAGAGAACUCGGGUGAAGGAACUAGGCAAAAUGGUGCCGUAACUUCGGGAGAAGGCACGCUGAUAUGUAGGUGAAGUCCCUCGCGGAUGGAGCUGAAAUCAGUCGAAGAUACCAGCUGGCUGCAACUGUUUAUUAAAAACACAGCACUGUGCAAACACGAAAGUGGACGUAUACGGUGUGACGCCUGCCCGGUGCCGGAAGGUUAAUUGAUGGGGUUAGCGCAAGCGAAGCUCUUGAUCGAAGCCCCGGUAAACGGCGGCCGUAACUAUAACGGUCCUAAGGUAGCGAAAUUCCUUGUCGGGUAAGUUCCGACCUGCACGAAUGGCGUAAUGAUGGCCAGGCUGUCUCCACCCGAGACUCAGUGAAAUUGAACUCGCUGUGAAGAUGCAGUGUACCCGCGGCAAGACGGAAAGACCCCGUGAACCUUUACUAUAGCUUGACACUGAACAUUGAGCCUUGAUGUGUAGGAUAGGUGGGAGGCUUUGAAGUGUGGACGCCAGUCUGCAUGGAGCCGACCUUGAAAUACCACCCUUUAAUGUUUGAUGUUCUAACGUGGACCCGUAAUCCGGGUUGCGGACAGUGUCUGGUGGGUAGUUUGACUGGGGCGGUCUCCUCCUAAAGAGUAACGGAGGAGCACGAAGGUUGGCUAAUCCUGGUCGGACAUCAGGAGGUUAGUGCAAUGGCAUAAGCCAGCUUGACUGCGAGCGUGACGGCGCGAGCAGGUGCGAAAGCAGGUCAUAGUGAUCCGGUGGUUCUGAAUGGAAGGGCCAUCGCUCAACGGAUAAAAGGUACUCCGGGGAUAACAGGCUGAUACCGCCCAAGAGUUCAUAUCGACGGCGGUGUUUGGCACCUCGAUGUCGGCUCAUCACAUCCUGGGGCUGAAGUAGGUCCCAAGGGUAUGGCUGUUCGCCAUUUAAAGUGGUACGCGAGCUGGGUUUAGAACGUCGUGAGACAGUUCGGUCCCUAUCUGCCGUGGGCGCUGGAGAAUUGAGGGGGGCUGCUCCUAGUACGAGAGGACCGGAGUGGACGCAUCACUGGUGUUCGGGUUGUCAUGCCAAUGGCACUGCCCGGUAGCUAAAUGCGGAAGAGAUAAGUGCUGAAAGCAUCUAAGCACGAAACUUGCCCCGAGAUGAGUUCUCCCUGACUCCUUGAGAGUCCUGAAGGAACGUUGAAGACGACGACGUUGAUAGGCCGGGUGUGUAAGCGCAGCGAUGCGUUGAGCUAACCGGUACUAAUGAACCGUGAGGCUUAACCUU
rnacentral:rRNA from 1 species